AUGGUAAGCCAGGUCAUGUACUCUGUGGAUUCUGAUGCAGAAAGUAGAGGAUCCUCUCCAACUGAAUCUCUCCAAACAUCUGAACCCACUAUAUCUGAUGUAGGCAAUCUAUUGAGUGGCAAGUCCUCCCCUCGGCUGUCUCCUUCUGGCACCAUUAUGGCAACAAGCGAGACCUCCAAUGCAGCACAAAUCUUGAAGGCCAACAUUGAUGGAGAGGAAGUGGAUACCACCAGUCAUUCUGGUGUAGCUCAAAACAUUGUCAAGGACGAUAUGUCAACCAGCCCAGACAUGGUCAAAGAUGUCACACUUCCAACCCCAUCCUCUGAUAACUUGGGCAGUGAUGAUGACGUCACCGGCCUCAUCAGCAUGUUAGUAAUGAGAAUUCUAACAGAAAUCCAAACCCCAGCAGAAGAUUACCCAGUUGACGUCACACGCAAGUCACAAGACCUUAUCCCUAAAGUUAUGGAGGUCUUCUGUGCAUGGUCAGGCUGCUCUGAGACACAAGCCUAUCCAGAGAACUUGAGGAUUCAUAAAGUCUACAGAGUCGUCUAUAAAAAUCUGUUGGAGGAGUUUGGCUCGGAGAAAAUCCUCCAACAGGCCGUGACGACUCAGGACUCUUCAUUUGAUAGGAUUCUUGUCAAGUCUUUGAGUGAAGCGCUUCUCCACAGAUGUAAUGAGGCAUUGAGGGCAGCCUCAAGAACAUCAGUCAAAACCACCGGGCCUAAGGCUCUUCCACUGGCUGAGGAUGUGAGGGCUAGCAGCGGGAAACUAUCUUUUCUACAAAGGCUGGUCAGGCUGACAAGCAACUUAAAGCUAUUCAAGAAGGGGAACAAGAAGGAUUCCCACCGCUCUGAAUCAGAACAAGUACAGACCACUGCUGAAGAUGGCAUGCUGCCCAGCAUAGUGCCACAUGCUGCUAUGUCUGCACUGCCAAAGGAUCUCCCCGCCAGCUCCCAACAGGAGACGCCUCACAAACGUCCACUUCUCGUCAGGAUGUUUUCUGCCAUCUCCAAAGGCCUGUUCAAGCCCUUCAAACAGUCCUUAAAGACCAAGUAA
rnacentral:lncRNA from 1 species